CGCGUAGGCGGUGUCGUAAGUCGGGUGUGAAAGCCCUCGGCUCAACCGAGGAAUUGCAUUCGAAACUGCGGCGCUAGAGUAUGGAAGGGGGAGUGGAAUUCCUGGUGGAGCGGUGAAAUGCGUAGAUAUCAGGAGGAACGCCGGUGGCGAAGGCGACUCUCUGGUCCAUUACUGACGCUCAGUGCGCGAAAGCUAGGGGAGCAAACA
rnacentral:rRNA from 1 species